ACUUUCCCCGAGGAAGGGCUCAGCUACCACCAAGCCUGACAGCAUCACUCAGCCCCCUGUGAUUGGGGAGCUGAGGAAGGACUCGCGCUUACAAGGCAGCCACAGGUGCACUGGAUUUUGCCAGUGACUGUGCGCUGGGCCAUCCCCACCCUCUGGCUAGGAGCCGGGAGUUUGCAGUAGGCACCCUCGCCCAAAAUAUCUCUGUAACCACUGGUUCUCUUCACGUUGACAAGUUCUGUAAAGUAUUUCUGUGCAGAUGGCAGGAAAUCUAAAUUUAAAUUUCCACUUAAUUUUUUUAUUCCAGCAGGAGUAGUGUUUAUUUUGUAGAGAAUCAACAACCUUAAGAUAUCAUUUUUUUUUUAAGAUUUUUUUUUUUAUUCAUGCAAGAGAGAGAUUGAGAUGAGCAUAAGCACGAGUAAGGAGAGGGGCAGAGGGAGAGGGAGAAGCAGAUUCCCUGCUGAGCAGGGGGCCUGAUGCCAGGCUCCAUCCGCGACCUGGAGACCAUGACCUGAGCUAAAGGCACACACUUAGCUGACUAAGCCACCCAGGUGUCCCUAAUGGUGUCCCCAUUUCUUGUUGCACACCCAGAUUUCUCCUCAUCAAGGGUUGAUCAGUCUUACACCAAAAAAACUUAAAUGAAAGGUGUAAAUGUCAGUUUCUGGGCAGCCCGGGUGGCUCAGCGAUUUAGCGCCACCUUCGGCCCGGGGUGUGAUCCUGGGGACCUGGGAUCCAGUCCCACAUCGGGCUCCCUGCAUGUAGCCUGCUUCUCCCUCUGCCUGUGUCUCUGUCUCUCUCUCUCUCUCUUUGUGUCUAUCAUGAAUAAAUAAAUAAAAUCUUUAAAAAAUAAAAAAAUAAAUAAAUGUCAGUUUCCUGGGUUUUAGUAUUGUGCUGUAGUUAAGCAAAAGCUCCCUUCUCAGAGAAAUAGGGUGAAGAGUACACAGGACCUCCCUGUACUGCUUUUCGCAGCUUCUUGGGACUGUAUAUUUAUUUCAAAAUAAAAAGGGUUAAAGUGAUACUUUUUGAUACAAUUUAUUUUAAUAUGUUACUGAUAUGUAAAAUAUAUUUUACCACAAUUCUUGAGCCCACUAAAAAUAAAUUAAAUAAAUAAAUAAAUAAAAAUUUUUAAAGAAUGAUACAGACCAGCACUAUACUGCAGAAGUAUAAUACAACCUAUAAAUGUAAGCUAAAUGUGUAAUUUUAGAUUUUUUAGUGGCCACAUUCACAAGAUUGAAAAGAACAUGGCAAAAUUAACUUAAUAAUGUAUUUUCUUUAACUUGGUGUGUCUAGAAUAUUGUCAUUUCAACAUGCAGUACCAAAAAAUGUUAAUAAGAUGUUUUAUGUUCCUUUUUCCUUCUAAGUCUUUGAAACCCAGUGUGUAUUUUAUACGUCCAGAACAUCUCAAUUUGGAAGAGCCGUAUUUCAGAUGCUAAAUAGCCAUGUGGCUAAUAGGACAGCGCAGUAUUGAGGCUAUAAACACAAAAUCUUUAAUGUCUUUUUCAACAUCUUUUAACAUCAUUUUUAAAGAUCUUAUUUAUUUUUUAGAGAGAGAGAGAGCACAAGUAGGCAGAGCGGCAGGCAGAAAGAGAGGGAGAAGCAGGCUCCCCACUCCCACUGAGCAGCGAGCCCCAAUGCAGGGCUCGAUCCCAGGACCCCGGGACUCAUGACCUGAGCCGAAGGCAGAUGCUUAACCACCUGAGCCACUCAGACGCCCCGUGCUUUAAUUUUAUAUGCAUUUUCCCUGGCUAUAUCUGCCUGUUGUUUACAUUCUUCAAAUAACUGGGCACUGAUAGCAGCAACACUACUGAUCUCCUUGUGGUCUCAGAGGAUUUGUCUCCAUUCACCUGGACACUGUGAUGAGUUAGUGCUGGUGGCCGGGCUGUGUCGAGGUCACUGCCAAAUGGUUAAGGAGGGAAACAGCUUUUAUCGGGACAGCCGGUGGGGCUCAGCAGCUGAGCGUCUGCCUUCGGCCCAGGGCAUGACCCCGGGUCCUGGGAUCGAGUUCCGCAUUGGGCUCCCUGCGUGGAGCCUGCUUCUCCCUCUGCCUGGGUCUCUGCUUCUCUCUCUCUGUGUCUCAUGAAUAAAUAAAAAAAAAAAAAAAAAAAAAA
rnacentral:lncRNA from 1 species